rnacentral:rRNA from 1 species
UGCCUACGGGAGGCAGCAGUGAGGAAUAUUGGUCAAUGGGCUUACGCCUGAAUCAGCCAAGUCGCGUGAGGGAAGACUGCCCUAUGGGUUGUAAACCUCUUUUGUCAGGGAGCAAUUGGCGCUACGUGUAGCGUUAUCGAGAGUACCUGAAGAAAAAGCAUCGGCUAAAUACGUGCCAGCAGCCGCGGUAAUACGUAUGGGGCAAGCGUUAUCCGGAUUUACUGGGUGUAAAGGGAGCGCAGGCGGCCUGGCAAGCCUGAUGUGAAAUACCGGGGCCCAACCCCGGGGCUGCAUUGGGAACUGCC